rfam:Homo sapiens chromosome 19, GRCh38 reference primary assembly.
GCCAGGCACAGUGGUGUGUGCCUGUAGUCCCAGCUACUUGGGAGGCAGAGGUGGGAGGAUUGCUUAAGCCCUGGAGUUUGAGGCUGCAGUGAGCUUUGAUCACACCACUGCACUCCAGCCUGGGCAACAGAGCGAGACCCUGUCUCAA